UACGGGGGGGGCAAGCGUUGUUCGGAAUUACUGGGCGUAAAGGGUUUGUAGGUGGCUUGUUAAGUCAGACGUGAAAUCCCUCAGCUUAACUGGGGAACUGCGUCUGAUACUGGCGAGCUUGAGUGCAGGAGAGGAACGCGGAAUUCCAGGUGUAGAGGUGAAAUUCGUAGAUAUCGGGAGGAACACCAGUGGCGAAGGCGGCGACCUGGGCAGAUACUGACGCUGAGGUGCGAAAGCGUGGGGAGCAAACAGG
rnacentral:rRNA from 1 species